rnacentral:rRNA from 1 species
UAGGGAAUUGUUCGCAAUGGGCGCAAGCCUGACGACGCAACGCCGCGUGAAGGAUGAAGGUCUUCGGAUUGUAAACUUCUGUCGUGUGGGACGAACACCUUGUAAGUUAAUACCUUACGAGGCUGACGGUACCACGAAAGGAAGCCCCGGCUAACUCUGUGCCAGCAGCCGCGGUAAUACAGAGGGGGCAAGCGUUGUUCGGAAUUACUGGGCGUAAAGGGCGCGUAGGCGGCUUGCUAAGUCAGACGUGAAAUCCCUCGGCUCAACCGGGGAACCGCGUCUGAUACUGGCGAGCUUGAAUUCGGGAGAGGGAUGUGGAAUUCCAGGUGUAGCGGUGAAAUGCGUAGAUAUCUGGAGGAACACCGGUGGCGAAGGCGGCAUCCUGGACCGAGAUUGACGCUGAGGCGCGAAAGCCAGGGGAGCAAACGG